UACGUAGGCAGCGAGCGUUGUUCGGAAUUACUGGGCGUAAAGAGUGUGUAGGCGGUGCUCUAAGUCUGUCGUGAAAAUCUCCCGGCUUAACUGGGAGGGUGCGGCGGAAACUGGUGUGCUCGGAGGGUGGGAGAGGUAAGCGGAAUUCCUGGUGUAGCGGUGAAAUGCGUAGAUAUCGAGGAGGAACACCAGUGGCGAAAAGCGGCUCUCUGGGUCCAAAAACUGACGCUGGAGGGGCGAAAAGCGUGGGGAGCGAACGGG
rnacentral:rRNA from 1 species